CCAAGCAGUUUAUGUACUAUAUAUUAUAUAAUUCCCAAAACAAUCCCAUAAUGUAGAUUUUAUUAUCUGCCUUUGUAGAUGGAGGAAACUAGGCAACAGACUAAGUAAACUGUCCAGCUAAUAAGUGGCAAGGACAGAGCCGAACUCUAUUUUUCCUGGUGGUAAGCCCAAUGAGCUUUCUAAGUUCCUUACUGUGAAUCUCCAGCCUUGAUCGCACUGCCAAAGAGAAACCUGCAAAAUGUUCAUCAGAAAUGAGCACAUUGACAAGUUAGCACAUCCUCCUUCUAGCCCUGUCCUUUCAGUCCAUUGAUGUCUACUAGAUUAGGACAGUACAAGGCAAGAUGUAUUCCCUCUUUCUGUAUCUAAUGCCCACUCUUGGAGGCAACGUCACAUACACUCUAGGAGACUGACCAUUCCCCAACAGCCAAGCUGAUGGAGAGCAAGCACUACACCAACUGGUUAGGCAACCCCUCCUCCUCCUAGUAGAAGCAACCUCUCUCUCUCAUGGGUGCCAUACAUAUUUUAUCAUGGCUUAGAUGGACUUUUCUUGCUCUAGCUUAUCUAUUCAUUUGUAUGAUGAUCUAGCAGGUAGAAAGGACUGUCCUUUUCAUCUCUAUUCCUAGAGCAUCUCUAAAACAGGCUUUUUAAAAAUCAUAUUUCUAGUACCUACUCCUUGGAGAUUCUGAUUCAGUAGGAUGAAGGCGGGGCCUGGGUGUUUGCAUUUUUAACAAGUGCAUGAGUAAUUC
rnacentral:lncRNA from 1 species